AGUUCCCUUGUCAGCGAUCAAACCCUAACGAGUCCCCAUUCUUCCCUGGAGAUCAGCUCACUAAUUUCAAAGGCCAAUCCCAAACACCAGGAGGCGGAGGAGGAGCAGGUGGUGCUUCGCAGAGAUUGAUGUCGAUCACUGAUGCUCUGUUGUUUAUCAAGCAACUCAAGGACGUGGGUGGUGACCAAAGAGAAGAAUAUUACAUGUUUCUUGAAAUCAUGAAAGAUUUUAAGGCUCAAAGGAUCGACACGAAGGGUGUUUGUGCGAGAGUAAAGGCAUUAUUCAAAGGGCACAACCACUUAAUUUUGGGAUUUAAUCAGUUCCUGCCACAGGGUUAUCAGAUAAUCCCUGAGGAAGAAGAUGCGACUCCGCCGCUGCAAAAACAGACAGCUGAUAUGAAGCUGCUAUCGCGUUUGUAAACAAUACAGGGGAGGACAACAAGGAGGACUGCAAUAUCUGCUUGAGGAUGUUGGGCUUGAGUGAUUGAGUUCCUUAGAUAACUAUUCAUGUAUUGUUGGACUCAAAUAGGUUUUUCCUUCAACCAUAAAGAUUUAAAAUUGGACCUUCAUAAGUGUUAAAGAAUGGUUUAACUCUAUUUUUUUGGGUUAAUUUUUGUU